CAGUAGCCGCGGUAAUACGUAGGUGGCAAGCGUUGUCCGGAAUUAUUGGGCGUAAAGGGCUCGCAGGCGGUUUCUUAAGUCUGAUGUGAAAGCCCCCGGCUCAACCGGGGAGGGUCAUUGGAAACUGGGAAACUUGAGUGCAGAAGAGGAGAGUGGAAUUCCACGUGUAGCGGUGAAAUGCGUAGAGAUGUGGAGGAACACCAGUGGCGAAGGCGACUCUCUGGUCUGUAACUGACGCUGAGGAGCGAAAGCGUGGGGAGCGAACAGGAUUAGAGACCCCUGUAGUCCCUGUCUCUUAUAA
rnacentral:rRNA from 1 species